rnacentral:lncRNA from 1 species
AGCAAAAUAGCCGUGCUAGCUGUAAAGUACGAAUCUGCAGGUCGUGGAAUGUGGGUUGUAAAAUCUGCUGAGGGAGAGCCAUAAACUGCUGCUGAAUAGGGAUGACAACUCUAUCUCUGCUCGCUGAUGAAAUUCCACAACCACGAUCGCACAGUGGGCAUCAGGAGCUGGAGGAGGGAUCCCCGAGGUCGAGUUUCUCUGGUUUUAGGCACAGCAGAUCGCAGAGCAUCCAGUUCUGCUUGGAGGCAUCUCCCGGGCACAUCAUGGAGAGGUUUUGCUCAAAGGGGGAACAGUGCAUGUUGAAGGAGCCGGGCUCCAGGCCGUACCCCGAGGAGUACAUGCCGGGGGGUUGGGGGUGCACGGCGCUGCCGCUGGAGUACAGCCCGGGCAUGGAGGAGGCGAAGGGAGGCGUGGAGCCGGCCCCAUAGCCCGCUCGUUGGGUGUUGGAGGCGAAAGCGCAAGAAGUUUGCUCGGGAAAGACUCCGGAUGGGAAAACCGAACUUGCGGCUUGAUAUUUAGAAAAUAAAGCAUUCGCAUA